rnacentral:rRNA from 1 species
AUACGUAGGUGGCAAGCGUUGUCCGGAAUUAUUGGGCGUAAAGCGCGCGCAGGUGGUUCCUUAAGUCUGAUGUGAAAGCCCCCGGCUCAACCGGGGAGGGUCAUUGGAAACUGGGGAACUCGAGUGCAGAAGAGGAUAGUGGAAUUCCAAGUGUAGCGGUGAAAUGCGUAGAGAUUUGGAGGAACACCAGUGGCGAAGGCGACUGUCUGGUCUGUAACUGACACUGAGGCGCGAAAGCGUGGGGAGCAAACAGGAUUAGAUACCCUGGUAGUCCACGCCGUAAACGAUGAGUGCUAAGUGUUGGGGGGUUUCCGCCCCUCAGUGCUGCAGCUAACGCAUUAAGCACUCCGCCUGGGGAGUACGGUCGCAAGACUGAAACUCAAAGGAAUUGACGGGG